rnacentral:misc_RNA from 1 species
GGGAAAGAAGGCCAAGACCGUCGAGGAGGAGGAGCACAUCGAUGGAGAGCUCGUGCUCUCGAUAGAGAAGCUGCAGGAAAUUCAGGACGAGCUCGAGAAGGUUAAUGAGGAAGCCAGUGACAAAGUUUUGGAGGUUGAACAAAAGUAUAAUGAGAUACGGAGACCUGUCUACAGGAAGCGGAAUGAGAUCAUCCAAUCUAUUCCAGACUUUUGGCUAACCGCAUUUCUGAGUCAUCCUGCACUUGCUGAUCUAUUGACCGAGGAAGACCAAAAGAUUUUUAAGUACUUGGUUUCAUUAGAUGUUGAAGAUUUUAAAGAUGUGAAGUCCGGCUACUCCAUUACUUUUAGCUUCUCUCCUAACCCAUAUUUCGAGGAUGCG